AGUGAACGCUGGCGGUAGGCCUAACACAUGCAAGUCGAACGAGUGGCGGACGGGUGAGGAAUGCAUCGGAAUCUACUCUGUCGUGGGGGAUAACGUAGGGAAACUUACGCUAAUACCGCAUACGAUUGAAUGAGCCGAUGCCCGAUUAGCUAGUUGGCGGGGUAAGAGCCCACCUAGGCGACGAUCUCUAGCUGGUCUGAGAGGAUGAUCAGCCACACUGGGACUGAGACACGGCCCAGACUCCUACGGGAGGCAGCAGUGGGGAAUAUUGCACAAUGGGCGCAAGCCUGAUGCAGCCAUGCCGCGUGUAUGAAGAAGGCCUUAGGGUUGUAAAGUACUUUCAGCGGGGAGGCGUUACCCGCAGAAGAAGCACCGGCUAACUCCGUGCCAGCAGCCGCGGUAAUAC
rnacentral:rRNA from 1 species